rnacentral:rRNA from 1 species
AUUGAACGCUGGCGGCAAGCCUAACACAUGCAAGUCGAACGAGUGGUGGACGGGUGAGUAAUGUCUGGGAAACUGCCUGAUGGAGGGGGAUAACUACUGGAAACGGUAGCUAAUACCGCAUACCAUCGGAUGUGCCCAGAUGGGAUUAGCGAGUAGGUGGGGUAAAGGCUCACCUAGGCGACGAACCCUAGCUGGUCGGAGAGGAGGACCAGGUAACCUGGAACUGACAUACGGUCCAAACUAUUAAGGGAGGCAGCAGUGGGGAAUAUUGGACCAUGGGCGGAAGCCUGAUGAAGCCAUGCAGCGUGUAUGAUGAAGGCCUUCGGGUUGGAAAGUACUUUCAGCGGGGAGGCGUUACCCGCAGAAGACGCAACGGCUAACUCCGUGCCAGCCGCCGCGGUAAUUC